UACGGGGGGGGCAAGCGUUGUUCGGAAUUACUGGGCGUAAAGGGCUCGUAGGCGGCCAACUAAGUCAGACGUGAAAUCCCUCGGCUCAACCGGGGAACUGCGUCUGAUACUGGAGGGCUUGAAUCCGGGAGAGGGAUGUGGAAUUCCAGGUGUAGCGGUGAAAUGCGUAGAUAUCUGGAGGAACACCGGUGGCGAAGGCGGCAUCCUGGACCGGUAUUGACGCUGAGGCGCGAAAGCUAGGGGAGCAAACGGG
rnacentral:rRNA from 1 species